GAUGAAGAACGCAGCAAAAUGCGAUAAGUAAUGUGAAUUGCAGAAUUCAGUGAAUCAUCGAAUCUUUGAACGCACAUUGCGCCCGCCAGCACUCUGGCGGGCAUGCCUGUUCGAGCGUCAUUUCAACCAUCAAGCCCCCAGGGGCUUGUGCUGGGGCCCUGCGGCUGCCCGCAGGCCCUGAAAACCAGUGGCGGGCUCGCUAGUCACACCGAGCGCAGUAGCACAUCUCGCUCAGGGCGUGCGGCGGGCUCCUGCCGUGAAACCCCCCACUGUAACCCCAAAGGUUGACCUCGGAUCAGGUAGGAAUACCCGCUGAACUUAAGCAUAUCAAUAAGCGGAGGA
rnacentral:misc_RNA from 1 species